UAAAGUAUAGUGUUAGUAUAAAUAUUUGGCCGUUAACCAAAAGAAAUUUUUUAAAAAAUUACUUUAU
rnacentral:tRNA from 1 species